GAACACAGUAAUAAGCAAUCUGGGAGAAGGGAAAAGUUAGAAAGUUAUGUAGGUACAUUAACACAGCAAUUCCCGUGCUUUAAGAAAUACUGGCAAAAAUCUCUUACCUUCUUUAAACUGUAGCCAGCAUGGAAAAUAAUUGGAGGCAGAAGGAUGUUGAAGAAGACCUCUGGAUCAAAUGUUACCUGAAAGUUUAAAAAGAAAAAAGUCAGGGGGAGGGCACCAGACUGACUUAGUUGGUACAGCAUGUAACUCUUGAUCUCAGGAUCAUGAGUUCAAGCCCCACGCUGGGCAUGGAGCCUACUUAGAGGGAGAGAGAGAGAGAGAAGUCAAAUUCUAGUUUAAUGCCAGUUGGUGUCACAAUAGUUGCUUAAUAUUUUAAGCCAUUGACUCAAGUCGGGAAGCAAAUAAGGCAGUUAUUUCCUAAUGAAGUUGUACAUGACAAGAGAGGACUCCGUGGCACUUCAACACUCAUCAUGUCUACAGGAUGACCUGCAGAGUCUGAAGAAGGCGACCUAUCACACGAUUUAACUUUGAUGUCUUCAUCAGGAAACCAAAGCAGUACACAUAAAGAAAUGAUGGAUGCUGAUCACAGUCUUCACGGCAGGUAUACCAGUAACACCAUGAAGCAUGACCUGAGACAGAUGAUCGGAGAGCUCCAAAACUUCCUGUGUGACAAAGCCACCACAUGGAAACAACUGAUACUCACAGCUUCAGUCACAGAGUGGGACCUGUCAUGCUUCAUUCAAUAUGAAAUAGGAUGGUGAAGAUAUCAACAGCUCGAUCAGUGCAUUUCAGCCAUCCCUGCUCAGCCAGCAGCGUGAGCAAGCUGGCGUACUGUGAUAAAACAUCAUGCUGCUGAAAUGUCGACCUAGAAACCAAAUCACUGCUUUGUAGCAAAGAAU